AAUGUAUCAAAUUUUAAGUGACUUUGCUCUGUUGAAUAUAACACAUGAAAUAUGAACUAUAAAUAACUUUAACCUUUAAACACAGGUACUAAUAUUUCCUAAUUGUGUUGUUUGCCAGGAGCUGACUAACAGAUUCUUGUUCUGACACAUUUUAAAUUACAACUUUAAGGUUUGAUAACUAUACAUCAGAACACUUUCUUGUAAUGUAUUUGUCAAUAAACAAAUAUAAAUCUAACAUUUCUCAAGUUCUAAUUGUACACUGUGUUAAAUAAAUCAUGACAGGGUAGUAUCAAUGGUGACUAUACACUCAUAUUGUUGUUGACAUGUGCAGGGCUUUUGUUUCUCUCUUCAUGUUUAUUCUUUAGAUGAAAUAUGUCUUGAAAUUAGUGACAAUAACAAAGAUAAUGAAUGGUUUUGAAGUGUAGGAUUUACUUCAAUGUUGAUGAAAUAACUCAAUCAUCUGACAAUGCCCUUGAGACGACCACAUGUAUAAUAUAAUAUAUACAUGUAUACUCAUGUAUAAUAAUCUGUGGAUGUGAAUUUAAGAAUUGUUUAAUAUAGACCUAUAUGUUUUAAACAUAGUUUCACUGUUCAAACGUGUCUAUCAGGUCUGAUCAUUUUCUGUAUCUUGUACUUACAGAGGGAGUAAUCACUUGAAAAACAAGAUGGCCACUUCCAUGCCAAGACAUUUAUUUUUCGCUGUUUUAUAACUUUUAUUGAUUGUAUUAAUUGUUAAAAUGCCGCUCUCUUUCCAGCCAAAUCGGCAAGAAAGUGAUAAGCGUUUAUAUCAUAUUAAUAUUUGCUCUAUAUCUUGACUAUAUUCUGCAUUUUUUUGCUGGUCACAAAAUAACAGCUCAGGCUAAGAAAAUUUGAAAAACACCUGCUCGGCAUGGUCCUCGUCAUCUUGUUUGUCAGGUGAUAACCCCUCUGAAAAUGAAGCAGACACUAUUUCAAACAUUAUGUAUCAUACUUUAUUUUUUUCAUUUUGUAAGUUUAAAACUUAAAAACAAUUUUCCACCGGUACCAAAGAUCAUUAAUUUUAUGUGUUCAUUUAGCAAGAACAUAUGUAUUACUGAUGUUCUUUUCAUUUUGUUUGUGAUCUUCAUCAUUUCAUUCCCCAACAAAGUUUGAAGAAUCACAUGUAUAUACUGGCAGUUUGUUCUUCAACUUUUUUUUUAAAUGUGGCAGGCCAAUCAGACAAAAAAUGUAAAUGGAAUUUUAUAUCAAAUUAUUCCAAAAACAUCACUGUUUGAAGUCAUCAAGAGGUUGGUUGGGUUUUCUAGGUCUGUUUGAAUUUCUUGUCUGUUUAACUACUUUAAAUGUUACUGGACACCAUUUUCAUAAGAAGUAGUAGUGGACAAUUUUGUUUCCCUACAGGUGGCCAUUUUGUCCAUUGAACUUUAUAUGCCCCCUUUCUAAGAAAAGGGGGCAUAUAGUGAUCGGACUGUCUGUCCGUCUUUCCGUCACACUUUGCGUUAAGGUUUCCAAAAAUGCUCAUAGUUUCUAUGUCCCUUGAGAUAUAACCUUCAUAUUUGGUAUGCAUGUGUAUAUGGACAAGGCCUUUCCAUACGCACACAAAAUUUUACCCCUGUGACCUUGACCUUGAACUUAGGGUCCACGUUUAGGUUUCAAAUUUGCGUUUAGGUUUCGAAAAAUGCUCAUAACUUCUGUGUCCCUUGAGAUAUAACCUUCAUAUUUGGUAUGCAUGUGUAUAUGGACAAGGCCUACCAUACAUGUAUGCACACAAUUUUUUACCCCUGUGACCUUGACCUUGAACUUAGGGUCCGCGUUUAGGUUUCGAAAUCUGCGUUUAGGUUUCGAAAAAAGCUCAUAACUUCUGUCAAGCGUUUAUAGGGGGCAUAAGUCAUCAUAUGGUGACAGCUCUUGUUCUUUCUAUUUGCAUAAAAUGUCUUAUGUAAAGGAGCAAUUUUUUUGCUUGAUAAAAUGGUCAAACAUCUACCGAUGUGUCAAAGCAAUAUGGGGAGGUGUGUUUGUGGGGGGGGGAUGUUAGUCUAAAUUUCAUCUGGACAUUAUCAAGUUAAGUUAUGAUUAUGGUGCAACAAACUCAUGGGCAUCUCUUAUGUGAAGCAGGUACCAAUAUGUUCACACACCUAUUCGACCACGUCAUAUUUUUGAGAGUGUUUCUGAAGAUGUAAAUUAUCAUGGUAUGUGAUAACAAAUACUGAAAUCUAAUUUGAUGCUUUCCAUUGGUUUAUAGAGAAAUGUCGUUGAAUUAAAAUUGAUAAUUCACUGGUUCAAACAGUGAAAUUAACCAUGAAAAUUUCACUGUUGUUCUGUGAGAUAGUCUUUGAAAAAAUAUUUUUUAUCUGAUUGGCCUGUCACAUGUUGAACUGUGAGAUGACGUGGUUUCAUGACGUUAAGACGUCAUUAUUUCAGCAAAAUACAGAAAUUAUCAUUUUAAAUCAUAAAAUAAGAUGAAAAUUUGUUGAAUUUGGUUGAUGGAAUAUCGAUUUUAAUUCACUAGUCAUCAUAGAAAAAAUAUUUUUUCUAUGAUCACUCGUGAAUUAAAAUCAAUAUUUGAACAAAUCCAACAAAUAUCCUCUAUAUUAACAAUCCAUUACAACUCCUUGCAGUGUCUGUCAUUCUGGUUUUCAUAUCUAGCAGUGUAUUGUGGUCAUCAUUGUUAAAAAAUCAUCCUUAGUGACAAAACUUGCUACGCUAAAAGGUCCCUUUUUUGGUUGUUAGCAAAUGCUGCAUAUUACUUCAUACGCUCAUCGAGGAGUAUUUGUCACUACUAUGACAUGUCAUGUACAUGUACAAGGUCAUCAUGACGACACAUGUUGAUGGAUCUGUUAAGUGGUCAUGACAUCACAAGUUCACGAGUUGAGUAGGGCAGUUAUUAUGUCAUCAGAUCAAUGUAUUGUAUGGUGUUUAUUAUGACAUGGCCCAAUUAGCGUAGGCGUGGUAUGAUAGCAUGGUGUUAUUACGUCACCAAAUGUAAACAUGGUAUUUCUGUGAUUAUGUUUAAUAACUGUUUGACACAAAUGGAGGCAACUAUCUCUGUCUGUUAAAGACUUAAUCUGUAUUCAUCUGUGUGUAUACUUUCAGCCUAAUCAUGUAAUGACUUUUUCUCCUGCUGUUUGCGUGAUGGUCCAGUCAGAUAUUGACAUGGUCGUAUAUUAUAGCUGCGUUUUGAAAUGUAUAUUAAAGUGUGAAUUGAUUUUGACAUGAAAUAAGACCAAUAAAACAACUGAUAUUUUA